rnacentral:rRNA from 1 species
AUACGUAGGGUGCGAGCGUUGUUCGGAUUUAUUGGGCGUAAAGGGUCCGCAGGGGGUCUCUUAAGUCAGUGGUGAAAGCCUGCAGCUCAACUGUAGAGGUGCCAUUGAUACUGACAUGCUUGAGUAUGGACGAGGUAGGCGGAAUUUGUGGUGUAGCGGUGAAAUGCAUAGAUACCACAAAGAACACCGAUAGCGAAGGCAGCUUACUGGACCAUAACUGACACUGAGGCACGAAAGUGUGGGUAGCGAACAGGAUUAGAAACCCCAGUAGUCC